rnacentral:snoRNA from 1 species
UCACUGUGAUGAAUGGUCCAACACAUUCGCGGUUUCCACCAGAAAUCAAGACAUGUUGGCAACUACCUUCCUUGGAUGUCUGAGUGA